rnacentral:rRNA from 1 species
AGAAUCAACGCUGGCGGCGUGCCUAACACAUGCAAGUCGCACGAGAAAGUGGAGCAAUCCAUGAGUACAGUGGCGCACGGGUGAGUAACACGUGAAUGAUCUACCUCCGAGUGGGGAAUAACUGAGAGAAAUCUUAGCUAAUACCGCAUAAUACCCACGGGUCAAAGCAGCAAUGCGCUUGGAGAGGAGUUCGCGGCCGAUUAGCUAGUUGGCGGGGUAAUGGCCCACCAAGGCGAUGAUCGGUAUCCGGCCUGAGAGGGCGCACGGACACACUGGAACUGAAACACGGUCCAGACUCCUACGGGAGGCAGCAGUGGGGAAUUUUGCGCAAUGGGGGAAACCCUGACGCAGCAACGCCGCGUGGAGGAUGAAAUCCCUUGGGAUGUAAACUCCUUUCGAUAGGGAAGAUUAUGACGGUACCUAUAGAAGAGCCCGGCUAACUUCGCGCCAGCAGCCGCGGUAA